rnacentral:rRNA from 1 species
UACGGAGGUCCCAAGCGUUGUUCGGAUUCACUGGGCGUAAAGGGUGCGUAGGCGGUCGGGAAAGUUUGAUGUGAAAGCUCCGGGCUCAACCUGGAAAAUGCAUUGAAAACUAUCCGACUAGAGGAUUGUAAGGGAGACUGGAAUUCUCGGUGUAGCAGUGAAAUGCGUAGAUAUCGAGAGGAACACCAGUGGCGAAGGCGAGUCUCUGGACAAUUCCUGACGCUGAGGCACGAAAGCUAGGGGAGCAAACAGG